AACACCCCUCUAUUUGAAAGAGUUCAUGGAUUGUCCCCAUAUUUAAAAAAGGUGACAAGGAAGAUCGUCGUGCAGAGUGGUAACAUGUGUCACCACAUAUCCAAGCUUGGGUACACGGGCUUGACCCCUUGGGCGGAUGGUGGCAUAUGGCGAACCAGGAGGGG
rnacentral:ribozyme from 1 species